rnacentral:misc_RNA from 1 species
CAAGUAUUUAAGUUUAAAAGUGAGUUUGGUGCAAGGUAAGGAACAUAAAUUUCUCAAAAAAGAGCUAUAAUCAACUGUUUUUGUUUAAGCACCUCCAAGACAUGUUUGGGUAUAAUUUGAUGCUUGAAAGAGCUAUCUGAAAUCAUUCUGAUUUCACUUUCGCAUAAGCACAUAGACUUGGGCAGUUUUGUUUCUGAACAAAUUUUGAUACAUUAAUUUAUUAAUAAUAAUAAGAGGACUUAAGAGGAAAUAAGAUCAGAAAAGCCAGAUAUUUAUAUAAAUUUUUAAUACUCCAAAUUGCUCUAACUUCAAUCCUUGUUAAACUUUGUUUAUAAUAGUACAUCAUAUCUUCCGAUUCAAUAAUGCAUUUUUGUCUAUGCCUUCGCCAAUGAGUCAGUCACUUGAAAGCAUGCUCCAAUUCAGGUAAUUCAGCAUUCAAUUAUGAGGGAAAGCAAGUGAAAUAUUUAUCCUCUCUUGCAGGCACUAGCAGAAAGAAACUUGG